rnacentral:rRNA from 1 species
GAUGAACGCUGGCGGCGUGCCUAAUACAUGCAAGUCGAGCGAACAGACGAGGAGCUUGCUCCUCUGACGUUAGCGGCGGACGGGUGAGUAACACGUGGAUAACCUACCUAUAAGACUGGGAUAACUUCGGGAAACCGGAGCUAAUACCGGAUAAUAUAUUGAACCGCAUUGUUCAAUAGUGAAAGACGGUUUUGCUGUCACUUAUAGAUGGAUCCGCGCCGCAUUAGCUAGUUGGUAAGGUAACGGCGUACCAAGGCAACGAUGCGUAGCCGACCUGAGAGGGUGAUCGGCCACACUGGAACUGAGACACGGUCCAGACUCCUACGGGAGGCAGCAGUAGGGAAUCUUCCGCAAUGGGCGAAAGCAUGACGGAGCAACGCCGCGUGAGUGAUGAAGGUCUUCGGAUCGUAAAACUCUGUUAUUAGGGAAAAACAAAUGUGUAAGUAACUAUGCACGUCUUGACGGUACCUAAUCAGAAAGCCACGGCUAACUACGUG